UACGAUAGGGUGCAAGCGUUGUCCGGAAUUAUUGGGCGUAAAGAGCUCGUAGGUGGUUCGUCACGUCGGGCGUGAAACUCCGUGGGCUUAACCCACGAACUGCACUCGAUACUGCGGAACUUGAGUACCGGAGAGGUGAGCGGAAUUCACGGUGUAGCGGUGAAAUGCGUAGAUAUCGUGAGGAACACCGGUGGCGAAGGCGGCUCACUGGCCGGAUACUGACACUAAGGGACGAAGGCGUGGGG
rnacentral:rRNA from 1 species